rnacentral:tRNA from 1 species
UAGCUCAGUCGGUAAAGAAUCUGCCUGCAGUGCAGGAGACCUGGGUUCAAUUCCUAG